GAUGAAGAACGUAGCGAAAUGCGAUAAGUAAUGUGAAUUGCAGAAUUCCGUGAAUCAUCGAAUCUUUGAACGCACAUUGCACCUCUCGGUAUUCCGGGAGGUAUGCCUGUUCGAGCGUCAUUUGUACCCUCAAGCUCUGCUUGGUGUUGGGUGUUUGUUCCGCCUCUGUGUGUGAACUCGCCUCAAAACAAUUGGCAGCCGGCGUACUUGUUUCGGAGCGCAGCACAUUUUGCGAUCCAGAUCAACGUACAGCGGCAUCCAAGAAGCCUUAUUUAACGCUCUUGACCUCGGAUCAGGUAGGGAUACCCGCUGAACUUAAGCAUAUCAAUAAGCGGAGGA
rnacentral:misc_RNA from 1 species